AGGGGGGUGGAGGAGGGGCCCCCAAAAUAAUUUUUAUUUUUUUGGGGGGUUGGGAUCUUUUCCCGCCCCUCCCCCA